rnacentral:rRNA from 1 species
AGCGAACGCUGGCGGCAGGCCUAACACAUGCAAGUCGAACGGAUCCUUCGGGAUUAGUGGCGGACGGGUGAGUAACACGUGGGAACGUGCCCUUUGGUUCGGAACAACUCAGGGAAACUUGAGCUAAUACCGGAUGUGCCCUUCGGGGAAAAGAUUUAUCGCCAUUGGAGCGGCCCGCGUCUGAUUAGCUAGUUGGUGAGGUAAAGGCUCACCAAGGCGACGAUCAGUAGCUGGUCUGAGAGGAUGAUCAGCCACAUUGGGACUGAGACACGGCCCAAACUCCUACGGGAGGCAGCAGUGGGGAAUCUUGCGCAAUGGGCGAAAGCCUGACGCAGCCAUGCCGCGUGAGUGAUGAAGGUCUUAGGAUUGUAAAAUUCUUUCACCGGGGACGAUAAUGACGGUACCCGGAGAAGAAGCCCCGGCUAACUUCGUGCCAGCCGCCGCGGUAAGAC